rnacentral:piRNA from 1 species
UGGCCAGUUGCUUUCAACACAAAAAGAGGCA